AGAUUGGCUGGGCAUAUUAAAAACUUCUAAUUUUUAUUCGGGGGUUCGAUUCUUCCACAAUCUU
rnacentral:tRNA from 1 species